CUGUUCCUGCUCCGGCUCCUGCGGGGAUGGAUGCUUCACGCAGUAAGCGAGUAAGCGAGCCCUGGAGACCGGGGCCCUGGGUGUGCGGUCGGCUCAGUGCCACGCGGUGAGAUAGGCAUGGUUAUCAACCCACGCCAAGGCGGUUGUGUACCUGGCAUAGAAAACACUGCUGUUGAAUGUUGUUUCCAUAGUCAUUCGCCAGCGUCCACUGAUGAGAGGUGCCACCACGGACACCCGGCCUUGCUCCGUCGAAGCUUUGGUCCAUUAGGACCAAAGUCAGGCCCCAGCGGGCCUCCCUGCCAUUCCUGGACGGCCUCGCGUCCUCCCAGAGCCUGACCUUCUCUUAUCUCUGCAGCCUAAGUCGCGGAAGCGUAGACACCCGGCUUUUCCCGCGUGCUCUAUCGGGCUCCCCUGGACACGGAGGGUGGAGCAGAAAGAGCAGAGGGGCCGGUGGGAGCCAUGGGGAGUCCGCCUAGCUCCAGAGAAGGGGCUGUCCGAAAUAGAGACUGCUCCUUCAGCCUGGACCCAACUGCGAAGAAGCCACAUGGAACAGAGCUGCAGCUAACCUGAAGUCUGUGUGAACUGAGUGCAAGAGACAAAUGUUUGCCACUGGAAAUCACGGAGAUCUGGGGAUCAUUUGUUACUGCAGCCUCUAGCAGAAGCUGACUGAUACACAGAGGGAAUUGGGUGCUGGGUGGGUGGAAACAGUAUAUAUGCCCCAGAGAGGCCAACUCCAAAAGCUGUGUGAAUUCAGAGAGAAACACCCAUGGCUUAAGGCUUGAAACAAGAGGCAGGAGGUUGGGGGAUAUUGGUUUUUGGUGAACUUACUGGGCUUGCUGAGGCAGAGCAACACCUGUUUCUCUGGGCCAUUACUACAAAGGUCAGAUUGCGAGUCUUGUCCUAGAUUCAGCCUUCUUUGAGAGUUUUCCUUAAGACACAGUUUGAGCAGAUUACUUUCUUGCUUAGAAUCCCUCAGUAGGUCCCCACUGCCCCAGGAUAAAGUCUAGACCCCCAAGCACGUCCUGCACGGCCUUGCUGACAUGUCUGAGUCUGGGCAUUGUACUAGUGAGCCACAAAGUGUGCAGGUCCUGGUGCCCACCCCAUCUCCACUGCUGCCCAGGGCGCAAAUCCACAUCACCCCUUAGCUGGACUAGGGCUAGUGCCUCCUAACUGGAAGGAUUCCACUCAGCUCCCUUCUAAUCCACCGUCCACCCAGCCACUUCUCAAAUGUAAACCCAGUCUUGUUGCCAUCCUACUGUCACGUAUACAAUAAAAUCCAAACUCAUUCUGGA
ensembl:lncRNA novel transcript